GAUGAACGCUGGCGGCGUGCUUAACACAUGCAAGUCGAACGGGAUCCAUCAAGCUUGCUUGGUGGUGAGAGUGGCGAACGGGUGAGUAAUGCGUGACCGACCUGCCCCAUGCACCGGAAUAGCUCCUGGAAACGGGUGGUAAUGCCGGAUGCUCCAUCACACCGCAUGGUGUGUUGGGAAAGCCUUUGCGGCAUGGGAUGGGGUCGCGUCCUAUCAGCUUGAUGGCGGGGUAACGGCCCACCAUGGCUUCGACGGGUAGCCGGCCUGAGAGGGCGACCGGCCACAUUGGGACUGAGAUACGGCCCAGACUCCUACGGGAGGCAGCAGUGGGGAAUAUUGCACAAUGGGCGCAAGCCUGAUGCAGCGACGCCGCGUGAGGGAUGGAGGCCUUCGGGUUGUAAACCUCUUUUGUUAGGGAGCAAGGCAUUUUGUGUUGAGUGUACCUUUCGAAUAAGCACCGGCUAACUACGUGCCAGCAGCCGCAGUAA
rnacentral:rRNA from 1 species